GACGUAGGGCGCGAGCGUUGUCCGGAUUUAUUGGGCGUAAAGAGCUCGUAGGCGGCUUGUCGCGUCGGCUGUGAAAACCCGCGGCUCAACUGUGGGCUUGCAGUCGAUACGGGCAGGCUGGAGUUCGGUAGGGGAGACUGGAAUUCCUGGUGUAGCGGUGAAAUGCGCAGAUAUCAGGAGGAACACCAAUGGCGAAGGCAGCUCACUGGGACGGUAUUGACGCUGAGACGCGAAAGCGUGGGGAGCAAACAGG
rnacentral:rRNA from 1 species